GUUGAACUGAAGAGAAGAUGGAGCUUGUACAAUAAUAGGGCAAGCUCUAGAAGAUGUCCAGAAGAGUUCAAUCAAGCUUCAGAAGUUAUUAGAAGCUGAUGCAAAGAAGAGACAAGAUCUAAGAAGUGUCUUGAAGGUGUAUACAAGACAUUGGAGGAGUUUGGGAGAUUAUGGUUGAUGGUGCAAAGAUAGGGAUCGGCCUGUACGGACGGACGUACGGAUGGUACGGACCGUACGGACAUGAUCAACCCAAAACUUAUCAGGUAGACCAUUUGAGCACAUUUGAGGAAUGUGCAAUCUUAGGGCACAAGGUGUACGGUCAUGACAUCCGUACAGCCAAGUCUGAUCAUGUCUUGGGAGACAAGGCAAGGAGAAGGGCGUGUGAGACUAUCCAAGGGAGAAAGAUCCAUUUGGCAUAUUCAAAGAUGCCUUAGGAAGCAACCAGGAAGGUGCCUUUCUCUCCAGCUCACACAGACCAAUCACAGCCAAGUAUUCAGUCCACAAGACAGCUCAUGACAGCCUGUAAAGGCCAGACUCGCCAAAGACUCCCAUUGGCCAAGCAUGUGAUGAUUCUGGUCCAUAGAAUUCAAAUGGGCGCUCCCCUUUAUGCUGACUUCACAUGCUUAGGUUAUCUGAUGAAUUCAGCCUCCAUUUAUGUAUUUAAGCUUCUUGUAAACAAUUGGAAACAUUAAGUGAGUAAGGGGGUUUCCCUUCUCCUUCUCUAAUCUUCAGUCUCUUAUUCUCUCAGUUUCUCUCUAGUCUCUUAAGUCUCUCAAUCUCUGUUCUUAAGUCUCACAUACUCAUAAACACUCUCACUAAUCCUUUCCUAUAUAUCACCUAGAACAAGCUCUAAUCAUUCUUCAUUGAAGCUUAUACACACACACAUACUACCAGAGUAGAGAUCUCUUUAAAAAUCAUAUGGUAUCAGAGCCAGGUUCAUCAGAACCUGAGCUGUAGCUUCCGCACAACACAAGCUCUACCCUCAGCUCAAAUCCAACCCUUGAAGACAUUCCCAUCCGAGUUCAGUUUCUCCAUGAGAAGAAGACUGAAGGGCGUGUCUCUUAUCCUUUCUCAUGUCUAUCCUGAUGGAGAGACUCAUUGGAAGCAGAAGUGUAUGGAGAGGACUCACGAACCUCAUCCAAGGCGCCUCCUCCAAGAGCUUUCUUCACCCGGUUCAUCAUGAAAGCUGUCAAGAUGAUGGCGCCUAGAAGACUUGAAGAAAGGAGGAGUCUUUGAGUUGGAGAAACAAGAAGGUGGCCAUGAACUGAAGGAGUAGGAGGUGGGUGACUAUCCAGACUCUCAGAUUCAACAAAAGCCAUGGCCAGUCCCCUUGGAGUUUUAAGGAACCAACCUGGUUCCUUGUGUAAGCGAUUUUAAAACCCUCUUGAUAAUGAGCUUGUGUUGUUGACUGGUUGUAUUGUGUGAUGUGCUUGAAAACCUGAGGACUGUUAAAGAUUGAUAAAUUAAAAUGUUUAGAAUCUGUCCCAGGAUACUUUAAGAGCUUUGUUUGGUGACUAAAUGUGAUUAAUAUGCUUAGCUUCGUUUCAUAGUGAUGCUUAGAGUGAUUAACUGAAUCUGCUUGCAUACAUGGAUUGAAACUGAAUUUAAAGCUGUUGCAUAUAGUCUUGUGGCUGUCUUACAUUGAAGCAUUAGAUUCAUGUCUAAAAUGCUGAGUAAAGAAGCUUUUAAAAGUGCCUAAGUAACUUGUCUUGAAUCUGUUAGGAUCUUGCUUGUUCUUAGAGAGCUAGCUUGCAAAGAAUAGAACUUGAUAAUGCCUUGUGUCUAUCUGUUGCACUGCUUGUGAGAUUGGGAAUCAAACCUGAUGAUUAAUCAAGGAUUGAUCCCAAUACUCUUGUGUCUUAUCCUUGCUGGAGUUUGAGUGGUGUUUCAGGUUCACAAGAAGUGUUCUCUGCUCACCACCUAUCCAAGACAAGAGGAAGACUUGAACCAUUGUGUGGAGCAAUGGGAAGAUACUUGUGUGUAGAAGCUGGUUUAAGAAGCGCAGACCACAAGGUUGUUGAGCUCCUGGUUCAAGACAUACAAGCGGAAGACCAACCAUUGUGUGGAGCAAUGGGAAGGUUCUUGUAUGUAGAAGCCGGUUUAAGAAGCGCAGGCCACGAGGUUGUUGAGCUCCUGGUUCAAGGCACACAAGAAGAAGAAGGUCACCACCUAUGCCAUGAGGAAGGCCGGUGAUCUGAGGGUACUUGAAGCUUAAAGCAAAAGGAUGGAUCAGUGAUUUAAGCGCAGCUGUUAGGGUGAUGUGCUCCUGGUCUUGAAGUUCAUUGAGGCUCAUUUCAAGCUUGGAUCUCCCCUAUUCUCGGUCUCAAGCUUGCAGUGCUAGUAUUCAAAUGAGCAACCUGAAGAGCUAAAGUUCAAGACCUGUUUCCUCUUUAUCAUUACAAUAGAAUGAUAAAAUGAAGCCUGUUGCCAACAUUCUGUGGGAAGUCCACAGCCUGCUCCAAAGAGGGUAGAGAGGAUGUUGUGACAAUGGAGAGAUGACGUGUUAUUCUGUCCAUGGUGGUUUAGUCACCAUAGCCUACACAUCAGAUGAGUGUAGAGAGGACAGUCGACAUAUAAAGAAGAGCAUCACCAGGAAGUAGAGGCAAUUUAAACCAAGACCAGUGCAAGCCCAUUGCAAGCUGAUCAUGGAGUGAUCCAGCCGAAGUAGAGGGAAGAAGAAAGCUACUCAAUAAGCUUCUGGUGUGAGAUGCUUGGAGAGUGAGCAUUGCAAGAGGGAUGGGCACACCAAGGAAAGGUGUUGAAUACUGAAUCCAAGCAUCAAACCUGCCAAGUUUAAGUGAACCGUGCCCAUGGAGGUUCAAGAGAUCAGCUCGGAUCUCUUGUUUGUAAGCAAACCUCUUAACCCUUAAUAAGAACUUGUGUCUUUAUUUAUUGUGCUGUGAGUGGUGUCUAGAGUCCCAGAAUCUCAUGUUUUGUUUAUUGCAUUGUCUUGAGUGUUGUCAUAGCUUGAAUCAUCAUGAAUGUGUUGUAGAAUUGAGUAGAAUGUCUCUGCUGCUUGCAUCAUGAUUGAUAAGUUCUUUUGCAUACAUAAGCAUAUCUCAUACUGUCUAAGUUGCUUGCAUCAUUGGUUCUGAUUGAAACUGUUGUGCAUAGCUUUAAUAUAAAUCAUGGAUUGAACCUGUUGCAUUCAUAUAGCUAAUGCUUUAAGAUUGUGCAUUCAUGUAGUAAUGCAUUUGAAAAUGAGUCUAAAUUGCAAAUGUACUGAUGAAAGCUUGCAUUGAAUUUAGAGAACUUAAUAAUCAUAAUAACCUAGGAUGUCAAUAUAGUGUCUAGAACUUGCAUAGUCAUUGUUAGAGAUAGAAAUCUACUUGUCUUGACUUAGGCUGUUCUGAUUGUUGCUAUGCCAUAGUUAAAUCCAUCAGUGAUGUCUUACAAGCAUUUAGAAGUAUGUCUAAGCUACUUGAAUCAUUGGCUGUGAUAGAACUAGUGAGCAUAAGCAUGAAUUGAGUCAAACUUAUUGCCUUGAUUGCAUAAGUAUCAUCUAGUCUUGUGUUCAUUUGAAGUGAAUCUGUUUCAUUCAUAGUUAGUGUGUAACCUAAUGCAUUCAUCUAUUGUUGCAUUUUAAAAAAAAAAAAAAAAAAAAAAAAAACAAAACAAACUGAAUUGAACCUAAAAAGAUCAGUGUAUCUUUGCAAAGCAUACAUUGUCUUUACCUAUUCUUGUCUUGAUUGUCUAGCUUGUUUCAAGUAUCAUAUAUUAUUGUGGCAUUGGUGAUCAAACAGGAUGGAUGAUCUUGGUUUGAUCCCAAUGGGAUGAUCUGAUCUUGCAUUGAGUUGUGGUGGUGUUAGGUACACAAGGGAAGUGAUACAUGUAACUCGCCAUCAACCAAGAAUGUAGAGACAAAGGUCUUGUGCCAUUGCAUAUCAUCACUUGGACAUGUUAGUCCAUAAUCUACAGGAAGUGUAGUGUGAUUGAUUAUGCAAUGAGAGCUGGCCAUUGCAUAAUACCAUUGGACAUAUCUAGUCCUUAGUCUACAGGAAGUGUAGCAUGGGUCAUUAUGCAAUGAGAGAUGUGUCUUGUGAGACUCUCUAUGGUGAUUCAAACACCCUAAUUCCUGGUUAAGGAAGAGAGAAAACUCACAAGAAGAAAGCUAUCAUAAAAGAUGAUAGUUAUUAGACCAUGGAGAUGCAUAGGAUCAUCACAAGCUUAGCUCCUUCUAGUCUCGGUUCUAAGCUUGAGGGGGAGUCUUAAUGCAUAUGAUCCAUGGUCAGUAACAAGUCUUUGCAAAGGCUUCUACAAGGAUCAUCAACCGGACCAAGUCAGUGGCGUGUCUAGGCAAGAGGCUGUUCAGAGCAGCCUUGGCGAGUGAGGAAGAAGGCUCUCCAUCAAUGCGGCUUCAAUGAGAGGUGAUUGAGGAGAAGCUGAUGAAUCCAUUCUGCCUUUCCAAGGAGUUGAUGAUGCCAUGAAGAUGGUGCAUUGAGAGAGUUUGGAAACUCACAAAAACACAAGGGAAGUUCCCUUAGACUUUUAAAACUCUUUUCAAUCUUUUUCAUUCAUCUUACUCAUUGCUUGUGCUUGAAAAGAUACUUAAGAUGAUUAUGAUUGAAUUGUGAGAUUGUGUGCAUCAAGUGUGAUGCAGGAUAUUCAUUUUCUUGUUUUUUGAUAGGUACUGAUGCACCUUUGGGAUAAUGUAUCAGGUACCAUUGCUUGAGCCUCACUAAAGAUGUUCCUGGUCAGUUCCUAGCUUCUCUAAGAUGGCUGAGAAGUCUGUUGAGAGGGGGAGAUCCAAACCAGUUCUAUGAAGAGGGCAAGCCGUGUGUGAAGUAUUGAUCAGCCUCACUAGUGUUUUGAAGAUGAUCUGGUCGUGUCCUAGCUUCUCUAAGAUGGCUGUGAAGUCAGUUGAGAGGGGGAGACUUCAAACCGGUUCCAUGAAGAGGUGAAGCUGAAGUGUGAAGUGUGAAGUGUGCGCAAAGCUGUGAAGAGUUGCUGCACCUGUUAGGCCGUGAUCCAGAGCUUCUUGUGUCCAACCACACUGGUUCUAAGGCACAAGAGCUCACUGGCCAAUCCCUAGGCUUUGGAGAGCUCUACUCUUUUUCCCUUGCAAGGUUUUGUCCCAAUGGGUUUUCCUUGUAAGGUUUUUAAUGAGGGAGACUCUUCAGAGUUCCAAGCUUGGCUUAGGAUCUCCUAAAGUCAAGCUUGAGGGGGAGUGUUGAACUGAAGAGAAGAUGGAGCUUGUACAAUAAUAGGGCAAGCUCUAGAAGAUGUCCAGAAGAGUUCAAUCAAGCUUCAGAAGUUAUUAGAAGCUGAUGCAAAGAAGAGACAAGAUCUAAGAAGUGUCUUGAAGGUGUAUACAAGACAUUGGAGGAGUUUGGGAGAUUAUGGUUGAUGGUGCAAAGAUAGGGAUCGGCCUGUACGGACGGACGUACGGAUGGUACGGACCGUACGGACAUGAUCAACCCAAAACUUAUCAGGUAGACCAUUUGAGCACAUUUGAGGAAUGUGCAAUCUUAGGGCACAAGGUGUACGGUCAUGACAUCCGUACAGCCAAGUCUGAUCAUGUCUUGGGAGACAAGGCAAGGAGAAGGGCGUGUGAGACUAUCCAAGGGAGAAAGAUCCAUUUGGCAUAUUCAAAGAUGCCUUAGGAAGCAACCAGGAAGGUGCCUUUCUCUCCAGCUCACACAGACCAAUCACAGCCAAGUAUUCAGUCCACAAGACAGCUCAUGACAGCCUGUAAAGGCCAGACUCGCCAAAGACUCCCAUUGGCCAAGCAUGUGAUGAUUCUGGUCCAUAGAAUUCAAAUGGGCGCUCCCCUUUAUGCUGACUUCACAUGCUUAGGUUAUCUGAUGAAUUCAGCCUCCAUUUAUGUAUUUAAGCUUCUUGUAAACAAUUGGAAACAUUAAGUGAGUAAGGGGGUUUCCCUUCUCCUUCUCUAAUCUUCAGUCUCUUAUUCUCUCAGUUUCUCUCUAGUCUCUUAAGUCUCUCAAUCUCUGUUCUUAAGUCUCACAUACUCAUAAACACUCUCACUAAUCCUUUCCUAUAUAUCACCUAGAACAAGCUCUAAUCAUUCUUCAUUGAAGCUUAUACACACACACAUACUACCAGAGUAGAGAUCUCUUUAAAAAUCAUAC
rnacentral:lncRNA from 1 species